UUUUGGGCUUAGUUGGCUAUGGAGCACAUGAAAAACUCCACAGUUAAGCGUGCUCAGGUAGGAGUAGUACCAGGAUGGGUGACCUUCUGGGAAGUCUCCACUGGGGCAACCA
rfam:Helianthus annuus linkage group 8, whole genome shotgun sequence.